UCCCAAGUCCGGUAACUCUGUGGCAGGU
rnacentral:piRNA from 1 species